GUGCUCACUUCAGCAGCACAUAUACUAAAGUUGGAACGAUACAGAGAAGAUUAGCAUGGCCCCUGCUCAAGGAUGACAUGCAAAUUCGUGAAGCGUUCCCAUAUUUU
rnacentral:snRNA from 1 species